rnacentral:rRNA from 1 species
CCUACGGGAGGCAGCAGUGAGGAAUAUUGGUCAAUGGACGAGAGUCUGAACCAGCCAAGUAGCGUGAAGGAUGACUGCCCUAUGGGUUGUAAACUUCUUUUAUAUGGGAAUAAAAUGUUCCACGUGUGGGAUUUUGUAUGUACCAUAUGAAUAAGGAUCGGCUAACUCCGUGCCAGCAGCCGCGGUAAUACGGAGGAUCCGAGCGUUAUCCGGAUUUAUUGGGUUUAAAGGGAGCGUAGGUGGAUUGUUAAGUCAGUUGUGAAAGUUUGUGGCUCAACCGUAAAAUUGCAGUUGAAACUGGCAGUCGUGAGUACAGUAGAGGUGGGCGGAAUUCGUGGUGUAGCGGUGAAAUGCUUAGAUAUCACGAAGAACUCCGAUUGCGAAGGCAGCUCACUGGACUGCAACUGACACUGAGGCUCGAAAGUGUGGGUAUCAAACAGGAUUAGAUACCCCUGUAGUC